UAUGGGUCCAGACUUCAGCCCACGUCCAGUCUGUGGACAUUUACUGCACUUAAACAGCUGUCUCCCUGGUGUAGAAUUCCCCAAAACUGACGGCUUUUCAAUCCAAGUGACACGUCCACCAAAACAUCCCUCCAAAAGAGCCUGAGCCCGGUGCUCCUCUGGCGGAAAUCCGAGUCGCAGAGAAGCCCAGACCCCUUCAAGCUCACACAGGAUUUUGGGUGACUGCACAGAGCGGGGACCAGAGCACAAUGGUCCUGUGGGAAGCCGGGCGUUUUUGUGAGCCAGCCAGGGGGCAGGCGCAGAAACAGGAAGGCCGAGAUUACGGUUCGCUUUACAGCUCUUUUGAAGUCGCCGGAGCCAGUUUGGGAAGCCUGCAGGCUGCGAGCGAGCGCGCUGAUCAAAGGUCCCUCGGCGGGCUCAAAUUAACACGGAGCUGGCGAGCCGAGCAGCACCUGCCCGCGAAGAGCAGCAAACCGGCUCAUCUUGCUCUUCUUGUGCGGAGGAGACUCGGGAAACCCAGAGGAUGUGUCUGCGCCUCCUCGGAGUCCCCCCAAGAAGCAGAUGUGGUCAAAAGGAAAUGGAAUGGGGAGAGGUGUUUAGAAAAGAGAAUCUGUAAACGAUCAUUUGCCAAGGCAACUCCAAAAUCUUCAUUUAAGAGUGUAGGGUUGGUGUUUUGUUUUCUGUGUUUGUUUUUUUUCUCUGCAAGUCGUUUGAUUUCCGGCCCAGAGUAUACUCAGGAUGAAUCGGCAGAAUCCGCUGGUGAAUGGGGGUUGCAUUCAGACAAACUGAACCCGAGGGAAUCAGCUUCCUCCCUGUGCAGUAGUAACCCUCCCACUAAAUUGUGAAGUCUAAACGACGUGUACAUAAGAUGCUCAAUAAAAUACAAUAAUGUAAUAAACGAUAAUAUGAGAUGUCCAAUAAAUAUACUAUUGCUUUUAAAUUAA